CGCGUAGGUGGUUUGAUAAGCGAGAUGUGAAGGCCCCGGGCUUAACCUGGGAACGGCAUUUCGAACUGUCAGGCUAGAGUAUGGUAGAGGAGUGUGGAAUUUCCUGUGUAGCGGUGAAAUGCGUAGAUAUAGGAAGGAACACCAGUGGCGAAGGCGGCACUCUGGACCAAUACUGACACUGAGGUGCGAAAGCGUGGGGAGCAAACA
rnacentral:rRNA from 1 species